rnacentral:lncRNA from 1 species
UAUUAUUAAUGCAUAAGUAUAAAUUAUAUAAAAAUAUUUUGAUCAAUUUAUUCACGAUUUUUUUUGCAUUUAGCCCCCUGGCAAAUUUUUAUUUUAAAAAUAUCCCUGUCAAAAUUUAAUUUACAAACAUAGCCCUAGGCCUGCCACACGGGCGGGGCUGGGGGCGGUAGUUAAGUUAAACAUGAUUCGGAUAUCCAUUACUAUUGACAUCCCUACUUCCUAUUCCUCUUUUCAAUAAAAAUGCGUACUAAACACUGUGAAUUAUUCACCGUGUUUGCGGUGAAUGAUUUACCGUGUUCAACUUAAUACACGGGCUCCGGUGCGCUGACGUGGCGCGUACGUGGCGGGCCAAGGAUCAUUUUUACAAAUUAAAUUUUAAUAGGACUAAUUUUAAAAUAAAAAUUUGCCGGGGAGCUAAAUGCAAAAAAAGCCCAUUUAUUCAU